CGCUGAACUUAAGCAUAUCAAUAAGCGGAGGAAAAGAAACCAACAGGGAUUGCCUCAGUAACGGCGAGUGAAGCGGCAACAGCUCAAAUUUGAAAUCUGGCCCCCAGGGUCCGAGUUGUAAUUUGCAGAGGAUGCUUUUGGCGCGGUGCCUUCCGAGUUCCCUGGAACGGGACGCCAUAGAGGGUGAGAGCCCCGUACGGUUGGACACCAAGCCUGUGUAAAGCUCCUUCGACGAGUCGAGUAGUUUGGGAAUGCUGCUCUAAAUGGGAGGUAUAUUUCUUCUAAAGCUAAAUACCGGCCAGAGACCGAUAGCGCACAAGUAGAGUGAUCGAAAGAUGAAAAGCACUUUGAAAAGAGGGUUAAACAGCACGUGAAAUUGUUAAAAGGGAAGCGCUUGUGACCAGACUUGCGCCCGGUGAAUCACCCAGCUCUCGCGGCUGGGGCACUUUGCCGGCUCAGGCCAGC
rnacentral:rRNA from 1 species